rnacentral:rRNA from 1 species
GAUGCGAGUGGCGAACGGGUGAGUAAUACAUCGGAACGUGCCCUGUAGUGGGGGAUAACUAGUCGAAAGAUUAGCUUAAUACCGCAUACGACCUGAGGGUGAAAGUGGGGGACCGCAAGGCCUCAUGCUAUAGGAGCGGCCGAUGUCUGAUUAGCUAGUUGGUGAGGUAAAGGCUCACCAAGGCGACGGUCAGUAGCUGGUCUGAGAGGCCGAUCAGCCUACACUGGGACUGAGACGCGGCCCAGACUCCUACGGGAGGCAGCAGUGGGGAAUUUUGGACAAUGGGCGAAAGCCUGAUCCAGCAAUGCCGCGUGUGUGAAGAAGGCCUUCGGGUUGUAAAGCACUUUUGUCCGGAAAGAAAUGGCUCUGGUUAAUACCUGGGGUCGAGACGGUAGCGGAA